GACGAGGGGUCCAAGCGUUGUUCGGAAUCAUUGGGCGUAAAGCGCGCGUAGGCGGCCCGGUAAGUCCGCUGUGAAAGUCAAAGGCUCAACCUUUGAAUGUCAGCGGAUACUGCCGGGCUAGAGUCCGGAAGAGGCGAGUGGAACUCCUGGUGUAGCGGUGGAAUGCGCAGAUAUCAGGAAGAACACCAACGGCGAAGGCAGCUCGCUGGGACGGAACUGACGCUGAGGCGCGAAAGCGUGGGGAGCGAACAGG
rnacentral:rRNA from 1 species